UGGGAAGACACCUCCCGCACGGAAAAAGCACACCAAAACCAGCCAGGCAAACCCUGGCUUCUUGUGCAGAUUCACCAAAGACGUCGCACUUGGUGAACGCAGGCUGCUAAGACGUUACCACAGGAAAAAAAAAUAACACGUAAUGCCACAGAAAGGAGCCAUAUGCCCGCUGGUGACCUGAAGUAGAAAUUUCAACUUCGGAGAGCUCCAUCUCACUUAGGCAAUUUCACACCGGUCCGUGCGCAAACAGCCCCAGACCUCUCCAGCCAGGCUGCAUCCGGCCCCGCCGCCAGAUCAGCUGCGCCAAAAGCCUCUUUGUUCUCGGGUGUCCUUGGAGCCUCCAGCAGCCGUGUCCCCGCUAAAGCUCUGGCAGCACUGUGUGUCGAUGCUCCUUGAAGCUUCAGCCUCUUCUCGAUGGGAAUUUAACCUUUGCUCUGAAGCGAGGUUUUGCUAAGAGACACGGGUCUGUACAGACGAGGUGAGAUCAGCCUUCGCCUCUUACCAGAACCGUUGUUCGGAAGGGUUUCUGUGCCUCAUCGUCUGCAGAUGUCACUUGGGAGUUGAGUCCUAUUUAGCUUUGAGGAACGGCCCAGCAAGGGGGCCCCUCCCAAACACCUUGCCCGAGCUUACUUUGGGUUCACCCCCAGGCUUCUUGAUUAACUCACGGUGGCGGCUCCCCGCACCCCCCCCCCCCCCAACAGCCACCUGAGCUGAGAGGACUUUUACCCUACUGGGUUACCGCCGAGCUGUAUCAGGUGAAAGCGGGACCCUCCAGACCAUCUGUUGUUAAAGAAAAAUUAAUAAUGGAACACGUAUAGAGCAAACACUUUGUACUGCUGCAUAAUAAAUGUGGAAUGCAGUGACCUUGG